CCUACGGGGCGCAGCAGUGGGGAAUAUUGGACAAUGGGCGAAAGCCUGAUCCAGCCAUGCCGCGUGUGUGAAGAAGGCCUUCGGGUUGUAAAGCACUUUCAGUGGGGAAGAAAGCCUUGGGGCUAAUACCCUCGAGGAAGGACAUCACCCACAGAAGAAGCACCGGCUAACUCCGUGCCAACAGCCGCGGUAAUACGGAGGGUGCGAGCGUUAAUCGGAAUUACUGGGCGUAAAGCGCGCGUAGGCGGUCUGAUAAGCCGGUUGUGAAAGCCCCGGGCUCAACCUGGGAACGGCAUCCGGAACUGUCAGGCUAGAGUGCAGGAGAGGAAGGUAGAAUUCCCGGUGUAGCGGUGAAAUGCGUAGAGAUCGGGAGGAAUACCAGUGGCGAAGGCGGCCUUCUGGACUGACACUGACGCUGAGGUGCGAAAGCGUGGGUAGCAAACAGGAUUAGAUACCCUAGUAGUC
rnacentral:rRNA from 1 species